GGAAACAAUCUUUGUUUCUAAUGGUGAGCACAUUACUGCACUUUGAUUUGUUGAUUCACUUGUUAAAAAAUAAGUAAAAGUUGUAUGCUGAUUCAGAUCAAAAUCUCUCUCUGCUCCUUUGCUGGAGUUUUUUUUUGGGGAAGGUGGUAUUCUGAGUUUAAGGUGAAACAUGUAGGAUUUGCCUUGUAGAAUGAUCUGUGAUAAAGUUUUCCAUUUGCUCCUGCCAUUUUUAACUCUUUCAAUGAUGGUUUUCCAGUAACCAAUAUCAAACUGCAAUUAGAUCUCCCAAUACACCAUCACCCUGUUUGAGGUGUUUCAAUACACAUGAUUACACAGCAAAUAUAGUGAUUGGUUAUAGUUUGAAGAUCAUAAAUGUUCUUUUUUUUUUUGGCUUAAUGGCAACAUCCUUAACAAGUGUUUUUAUCGCUCAAAUCUAAAACUCAAGCAAUUUUUUUCACAUUCACAUGUGUGGGUUUUAAUUCAUCUGCAAAAUGUGACAUACAUUAGAAAUAAGGACCUAGAGCUAGAGCCUGCAAUUGAUUCUGAGAUUUGGCUUUGUUCUUAUGCAAUGGCAUGAUAUAUCCUUAAAGCUGAGUGAUAUGCUUUUCCCCAGGGUUGUUACUGGUCACUGGCCUA
rnacentral:misc_RNA from 1 species